rnacentral:rRNA from 1 species
AUUGAACGCUGGCGGCAGGCCUAACACAUGCAAGUCGAGCGGAUGAAGGGAGCUUGCUCCUGGACUCAGCGGCGGACGGGUGAGUAAUGCCUAGGAAUCUGCCUGGUAGUGGGGGAUAACGUCCGGAAACGGGCGCUAAUACCGCAUACGUCCUGAGGGAGAAAGUGGGGGGUCUUCGGACCUCACGCUAUCAGAUGAGCCUAGGUCGGAUUAGCUAGUUGGUGGGGUAAAGGCCUACCAAGGCGACGAUCCGUAACUGGUCUGAGAGGAUGAUCAGUCACACUGGAACUGAGACACGGUCCAGACUCCUACGGGAGGCAGCAGUGGGGAAUAUUGGACAAUGGGCGAAAGCCUGAUCCAGCCAUGCCGCGUGUGUGAAGAAGGUCUUCGGAUUGUAAAGCACUUUAAGUUGGGAGGAAGGGCAGUAAGUUAAUACCUUGCUGUUUUGACGUUACCAACAGAAUAAGCACCGGCUAACUUCGUG